rnacentral:rRNA from 1 species
AUGACGUUCUGGAACUGUUCUGAGUUUAUUCCGCCCCUUCAUGAUGGACCAAACGAGACAAGGCGCAAGGUGCAAGAACGAGACGGAGACUACAACGCCGCCACCGCCACGAUGCCGGCGUCUCCUUCUUUCCGGGCAAGCUGGCUUACAUCCCCUCUCCCCCGCCACCGCCACGAUGCCGGCGUUUCCUUCUUUCCGGGCAAGCUGGCUUACAUCCCCUCUCCCCCCUCCCGCGAGAUUAAGGCCUCCGUCCGCGUCGUCUUCCCUUGCGAGCUUGCCAAGCACGCCAUCUCCGGGGGCACCUAUUUUCAGUCUCUUCUUGUCUUCUCGGAGAGUCCCUGUCUCCUGCUUUCUCGUGGUUCGCUCUAG